rnacentral:tRNA from 1 species
GGUCUCAUGGUGUAAUGGUUAGCACUCUGGACUCUGAAUCCAGCGAUCCGAGUUCAAAUCUCGGUAAGACCU